rnacentral:rRNA from 1 species
ACUCCUACGGGAGGCAGCAGUGGGGAAUAUUGCACAAUGGGGAAACCCUGAUGCAGCCAUGCCGCGUGUGUGAAGAAGGCCUUCGGUUGUAAAGCACUUCAGUAGGGAGGAAGGUAGUGUAGUUAACACCUGCAUUAUUUGACGUUACCUACAGAAGAAGCACCGGCUAACUCCGUGCCAGCAGCCGCGGUAAUACGGAGGGGUGCGAGCGUUAAUCGGAAUUACUGGGCGUAAAGCGCAUGCAGGCGGCCUGUUAAGUCAGAUGUGAAAGCCCGGGGGCUUAACCUCGGAAUUGCAUUUGAAACUGGCAGGCUAGAGUCUUGUAGAGGGGGUAGAAUUUCAGGUGUAGCGGUGAAAUGCGUAGAGAUCUGAAGGAAUACCAGUGGAGAAGGCGGCCCCCUGGACAAAGACUGACGCUCAGAUGCGAAAGCGUGGGGAGCAAACAGGAUUAGAUACCC